GAAUGUGACUAGAACGAGUUGGAAAGCUCGACCACAGUGGGUGACAGUCCCGUAUAGGAAGCAUGAUUGGACGUAUUAAGUAGGGCGGGACACGUGAAAUCCUGUCUGAAGAUCGGAGGACCACCUUCGAAGGCUAAGUACUCCUUACUGACCGAUAGCGAACCAGUACCGUGAGGGAAAGGUGAAAAGCACCCCGAUAAGGGGAGUGAAAUA
rnacentral:rRNA from 1 species